rnacentral:tRNA from 1 species
GGGGAUGUGGUGCAGUUGGUAGCAGGCAUGUCUAGCAUGCAAGUAGCCCUGGGCUCAACUCCCAGCACUUCA